rnacentral:rRNA from 1 species
GACGAACGCUGGCGGCGUGCCUAAUACAUGCAAGUUGAGCGCUGAAGGUUGGUACUUGUACCAACUGGAUGAGCAGCGAACGGGUGAGUAACGCGUGGGGAAUCUGCCUUUGAGCGGGGGACAACAUUUGGAAACGAAUGCUAAUACCGCAUAAAAACUUUAAACACAAGUUUUAAGUUUGAAAGAUGCAAUUGCAUCACUCAAAGAUGAUCCCGCGUUGUAUUAGCUAGUUGGUGAGGUAAAGGCUCACCAAGGCGAUGAGACAUAGCCGACCUGAGAGGGUGAUCGGCCACAUUGGGACUGAGACCCGGCCCAAACUCCUACGGGAGGCAGCCGUAGUGAAUCUUCGGCAAUGGACGAAAGUCUGACCGAGCAACGCCGCGUGAGUGAAGAAGGUUUUCGGAUCGUAAAACUCUGUUGGUAGAGAAGAACGUUGGUGAGAGUGGAAAGCUCAUCAAGUGACGGUAACUACCCAGAAAGGGACGGCUAACUACGUG